UCCUCAACAUAGAAACACACAAACUUGAAGGAUUCUCUUGUGAGGGCUUAUGGAAAUGAUCUAUGUCUACUCUUAGAAUGGUGAAAGACUUUCAGAUUAUGCAAAGACUAACAGAAUAUCCUCUCUUGGAACACUGAAACAAGAAAACCAAACUUAAGAAGAUGGAGGAUUUAAGAAGAACAUAGAUAAAUAUGAUUUCCAACCAAUUUAACCAAUACGGUCAUAGACUGUGGUUUACAGGAUGACAAAGAAAGGACUCAGGAUUGUACCUUUCACUGUCAGACACUGACUAUGGAUAAAGUGUAAUCAUUUAUCAGACUGAGAUCUAGUCAAAUCAAGUAUUGAAAAUAUGAUUUUCUGAUAGCAUGAGCUCUUUAAAAACUAAUUCUCAAUGACCUCAAAGUAUCUGAAAGUGACUUUUAUUUUUACCAAUUCAUAUUGAAGACUGUUGUUAUGUAUGGGAAUUACACAUUUAAACCUUUUAUUUUUCAUCUAAUUUUUACAACCACCUAGAAAUUAACGCAGAUAUCCAGAUGCUGGAUUUAAUGUUAUUAUUUAACUUUCCUGGAAUUGUAAAUAUAUUUUGUUUGUGUAUGUAUCAUGUUUAAUUUUGAAUUUAAAUUGGGUCUCAAUAAGACCCCCAAUAAAGAUGCAAGUGUCCCAUAA